AGUGAACGCUGGCGGCAGGCCUAACACAUGCAAGUCGAACGGCAGCACAGUAAGAGCUUGCUCUUACGGGUGGCGAGUGGCGGACGGGUGAGGAAUACAUCGGAAUCUACUUUUUCGUGGGGGAUAACGUAGGGAAACUUACGCUAAUACCGCAUACGACCUACGGGCGAAAGCAGGGGAUCUUCGGACCUUGCGCGAUUGAAUGAGCCGAUGUCGGAUUAGCUAGUUGGCGGGGUAAAGGCCCACCAAGGCGACGAUCCGUAGCUGGUCUGAGAGGAUGAUCAGCCACACUGGAACUGAGACACGGUCCAGACUCCUACGGGAGGCAGCAGUGGGGAAUAUUGGACAAUGGGCGCAAGCCUGAUCCAGCCAUACCGCGUGGGUGAAGAAGGCCUUCGGGUUGUAAAGCCCUUUUGUUGGGAAAGAAAAGCAGCAGGUUAAUACCCCGCUGUUCUGACGGUACCCAAAGAAUAAGCACCGGCUAACUUCGUG
rnacentral:rRNA from 1 species